GAUGAACGCUGGCGGCGUGCCUAAUACAUGCAAGUCGAGCGAACAGACGAGGAGCUUGCUCCUCUGACGUUAGCGGCGGACGGGUGAGUAACACGUGGAUAACCUACCUAUAAGACUGGGAUAACUUCGGGAAACCGGAGCUAAUACCGGAUAAUAUAUUCAACCGCAUGGUUCAAUAGUGAAAGACGGUUUUGCUGUCACUUAUAGCUGGAUCCGCGCCGGAUUAGCUAGUUGGUAAGGUAACGGCUUACCAAGGCAACGAUGCGUAGCCGACCUGAGAGGGUGAUCGGCCACACUGGAACUGAGACACGGUCCAGACUCCUACGGGAGGCAGCAGUAGGGAAUCUUCCGCAAUGGGCGAAAGCCUGACGGAGCAACGCCGCGUGAGUGAUGAAGGUCUUCGGAUCGUAAAACUCUGUUAUUAGGGAAGAACAAAUGUGUAAGUAACUAUGCACGUCUUGACGGUACCUAAUCAGAAAGCCACGGCUAACUACGUG
rnacentral:rRNA from 1 species